rnacentral:rRNA from 1 species
UGCUUUACACAUGCAAGUCGAACGGAACUUAGGGGCUUGCUCCUAAGUUUAGUGGCGAACGGGUGAGUAACAUAUCGGAACGUAUCCAUUAAUGGGGGAUAACUAAUCGAAAGGUUGGCUAAUACCGCAUACGCCCUACGGGGGAAAGCAGGGGAUCUUCGGACCUUGCGUUAAUGGAGCGGCCGAUAUCUGAUUAGCUAGUUGGUGAGGUAAAGGCUCACCAAGGCGACGAUCAGUAGCUGGUCUGAGAGGACGACCAGCCACACUGGAGCUGAGACACGGUCCAGACUCCUACGGGAGGCAGCAGUGGGGAAUUUUGGACAAUGGGCGAAAGCCUGAUCCAGCCAUGCCGCGUGCAGGAUGAAGGCCUUCGGGUUGUAAACUG